rnacentral:tRNA from 1 species
AAAAUGAAAAAAAGACUUCUAAUCUUUAAAAAGUGAUUACACUUCAUUUUU